GCGGANGAUCAUUAUCGUACAACCGAGGUGCGAGGGCUGUCGCUGACCCCUUUGAAAGGUCGUGCACGCCCGAGCGCUCUCAUCCCAAUCCAUCUCACCCCUUUGUGCAUCACCGCGUGGGUCCGCCUUUGCGGGAGGGGCCCNNGUUU
rnacentral:misc_RNA from 1 species